rnacentral:rRNA from 1 species
AGCGAACGCUGGCGGCAGGCCUAAUACAUGCAAGUCGAACGGCUCUUCGGAGCAGUGGCGGACGGGUGAGUAACGCGUGGGAAUGUGCCCUUUGGUACGGAACAACACAGGGAAACUUGUGCUAAUACCGUAUGUGCCCUUCGGGGGAAAGAUUUAUCGCCAUUAGAGCGGCCCGCGUCUGAUUAGCUAGUUGGUGAGGUAAAGGCUCACCAAGGCGACGAUCAGUAGCUGGUCUGAGAGGAUGACCAGCCACAUUGGGACUGAGACACGGCCCAAACUCCUACGGGAGGCAGCAGUGGGGAAUCUUGCGCAAUGGGCGAAAGCCUGACGCAGCCAUGCCGCGUGAAUGAUGAAGGUCUUAGGAUUGUAAAAUUCUUUCACCGGGGACGAUAAUGACGGUACCCGGAGAAGAAGCCCCGGCUAACUUCGUGCCAGCAGCCGCCGUAAAAC